AAGCCCCAGUAAACGGCGGCCGUAACUAUAACGGUCCUAAGGUAGCGAAAUUCCUUGUCGGGUAAGUUCCGACCCGCACGAAAGGCGUAAUGAUUUGGGCACUGUCUCAACAAUGCACCCGGUGAAAUUGAAAUACCAGUGAAGAUGCUGGUUACCUGCGCCAGGACGGAAAGACCCCAUGGAGCUUUACUCCAGCUUGAUACUGGGAUUCGAUGCUGUAUGUACAGGAUAGGUGGGAGACAGAGAAGUGAUUACGCCAGUAAUCAUGGAGUCAAUGUUGGGAUACCACCCUUGCAGCAUUGGAUUUCUAACCUGCGCCCGUGACCCGGGCGGGGGACAAUGUCUGGCGGGGAGUUUGACUGGGGCGGUCGCCUCCGAAAGGGUAUCGGAGGCGCUCAAAGGUUCCCUCAGAAUGGUUGGAAACCAUUCGAAGAGUGCAAAGGCAGAAGGGAGCUUGACUGCGACACCGACGGGUGGAGCAGGUACGAAAGUAGGACUUAGUGAUCCGGUGGUAUAAAGUGGGAUUGCCAUCGCUCAACGGAUAAAAGCUACCCUGGGGAUAACAGGCUUAUCACUCCCAAGAGUUCACAUCGACGGAGUGGUUUGGCACCUCGAUGUCGGCUCAUCGCAUCCUGGGGCUGAAGUAGGUCCCAAGGGUUGGGCUGUUCGCCCAUUAAAGCGGUACGCGAGCUGGGUUCAGAACGUCGUGAGACAGUUCGGUCCCUAUCCGGCGCAGGCGGAGGAUAUUUGAGAGGAGCUGUCCUUAGUACGAGAGGACCGGGAUGGACGGACCGCUGGUGUAUCUGUUGACGACCAACGUCAUGGCAGAGUAGCCAAGUCCGGCAGGGAUAAACGCUGAAGGCAUCUAAGCGUGAAGCCCCCCUCAAGAUGAGAUAUCCCAAUAAGUAAGACCCCUUAGAGAGUAUGAGGUAGAUAGGCUGGAGGUGGAAGUGCAGUAAUGUAUGUAGCUGACCAGUACUAAUCGGUCGAGGGCUUAUCCUG
rnacentral:rRNA from 1 species